GAAUUCGCCCUUAGAGUUUGAUCCUGGCUCAGGACGAACGCUGGCGGCGUGCUUAACACAUGCAAGUCGAACGGAGGUUACGAGGAAGCUUGCGAAUUGUAACCUUAGUGGCGGACGGGUGAGUAACGCGUGGAUAACCUGCCUGACAGACCGGGACAACACCGGGAAACUGGUGCUAAUACCGGAUACGCUCAAGAGUGCCCAUGCACACUUGAGGAAAGGAGCAAUCCGCUGACAGAUGGGUCCGCGUCCCAUUAGCUAGUUGGAGGUGUAAAGGACCACCAAGGCGACGAUGGGUAGCCGGCCUGAGAGGGUGGACGGCCACACUGGAACUGAGACACGGUCCAGACUCCUACGGGAGGCAGCAGUGGGGAAUCUUCCGCAAUGGGCGAAAGCCUGACGGAGCAACGCCGCGUGAGUGAUUAAGGCCUUCGGGUUGUAAAACUCUGUCAUCAGGGAAGAAAAUAAUGACGGUACCUGAGGAGGAAGCCCCGGCUAACUACGUGCCAGCAGCCGCGGUAAAACGUAGGGGGCGAGCGUUGUCCGGAAUUACUGGGCGUAAAGGGCGCGUAGGCGGUUGUCCAAGUCAGAGGUGAAAACUCUGGGCUCAACUCAGAGCGUGCCUCUGAAACUGGGCGACUUGAGGGCAGGAGAGGGGAGUGGAAUUCCCAGUGUAGCGGUGAAAUGCGUAGAUAUUGGGAGGAACACCAGUGGCGAAGGCGACUCUCUGGCCUGUUUCUGACGCUGAGGCGCGAAAGCGUGGGGAGCGAACGGGAUUAGAUACCCCGGUAGUCCACGCCGUAAACGAUGG
rnacentral:rRNA from 1 species